AGAGUUGGUUACUCAUAAAGAUGAUUGGAUCACAAGGGUUAGGAUUUGUCGAAUUUGCGAUGCCAUUAAUCCCAAGAAUAACGGCGAAUUGAUCAGUUUGGAUAUGAUUUUUAUUGACGAAAAGGUACUUUCUUACAUGAUUUUUAUUUUCAUAUAUCAAAUUUUUUGACUUUUGAUCCUCAAUUCACUUUCGGCUUUCUUAUAUCAGGGAAAUUUGAUGCAUGAUAUCGUUAGAAAGAGUCAUGUUAACAGGUUUAAACACAAGUUGAUUGAAGGUUCUUUAUAUACCACCAAGAACUUUAAAGUCGUAGAAAGUUGUGUGGAUAUAGACCUGUCGAAAGUUCAUUGAAAAUUAUUUUCUUUGCCUCAAUUGCAAUCAAGAAAUUGUCCGAAGAUAUUGGUGAUAUUCCUAUUAACGGAUUUCAGUUUAUUAAACCUGAUAUGAUUGAGUCAAGGGUGCGCAACAACACUAUCUUAUCAGACGUGGUUGGUUGUUUAUGCGGAGUUGGGGAUAUGGAGAGCGCUGGAUCAAAGUGGAAAAAAAGGGACAUCCAAAUUGUUACGGAUUAGUAUACCCCUUAUCCCAUUUUAAGUAUUUUUGGUUUGUUAUCUUUGUAAAGGUGAUUUUGUAAUACAAAACACACAACCUUGAUAAAUUUCAUCGAUCAUUGAGUCAUUUUAGUCUAUAUUUAUUGGAUUCUGGCUUAAACAGUGUUUUUAUGGAUACUCUAGGUGCCAACAAAAGUGCACUCAUUAUUGGAACUCUUUUGUUUAUACCUGUUAAAUUUCUACACUAUUUGCACAUGUCUAUAAAUACAUAACCUCUUAAUCUCCUCUUUACAGUCACUCAAUAGUCAACAUUAUUGGAACUAGAUGUUGGUCGUUUCUUUUUAUUAGAUUUAGAUGAACUGUUAAAUUGUGAUUUGUCUUUUUUCUGCAUAGUUCGGCGAAAUAAAAAAUUACCUUAUAGGAAUAAUUUGGAGAACAGUUUGCUCCUUAUUUGUACAAGAAGGAUUCUAGCCCGUAUAUAGUCAUUUUAACUUCCACCACAGUUAAAGAAUUUUGUGGUAAUUGUUUCAGAUUUAAUUGUCGGUGUUAUGUAUUUAUCUGUUAAUUUUCUGAGUAAUUUCACGGUUAUUUUCUAUUGCAUCCUUUGUUAAUAGGUGAGGUUAGCUUCUCCACCACCUCUGCAAGCAAAGUAUAUGCAAAAGUUUUCUACCAUGUCCACGGGAGUGCAAAUUAUCGAAAGCUCUAAUGUUAAUACCAUUCCUAUAGAGGUAGAGAUGUUUUUUAACCGGUGGACAUUAAGGAGUUGUUAGAGUCUGAUUGGAGUCCUAAAAUACAUGAAUAUGUUGUUACUGUAAGGGGAAAAAUUAUAGGAAUACAGGACUGUUUUGGCUGGUACUACAUUUCAUGCAAUGCGUGUUUAAAGAAGAUUAGACCCGCAGAUGGUGUAUAUCGAUGCCACCAGUGCAAUAAGGAUUGCAAGUUUCCUUUGGUGAAGUACAAGAUACACAUAAAAGUGAAAGAUAAAACUAGGGACACUACAGUUGUCCUAUUCAAUGAUGUGGCUGAGAAACUCCUUGAUACAUCAGCUCACAAGUUGUUCAACAAGCUGUCGUUGAGUAACAACAAUGAUGUGCCUGCCCAAAUCAAAAGCCUCUGUGGGAAAGAUUUUAUUUUUAAGCCCAAAUUAAAUAAGUAUAAUUUGAAAGAGGGGCUUGAAAAUUUUACAGUAUCUAAGCUUUGGAUUCCAGAUGAGGAUUUGGAAGUACAAUACAAGCUAAGGAAAGA